rnacentral:rRNA from 1 species
CCUACGGGAGGCAGCAGUGAGGAAUAUUGGUCAAUGGUCGUGAGCCUGAACCAGCCAAGUAGCGUGAAGGAUGACGGCCCUACGUGUUGUAAACUUCUUUUAUCAGGGAAUAAGGUGCGGCACGUGUGCUUUUUUGUAGGUACCUUAUGAAUAAGGAUCGGCUAAAUCCGUGCCAGCAGCCGCGGUAAUACGGAGGAUCCGAGCGUUAUCCGGAUUUAUUGGGUUUAAAGGGAGCGUAGGCGGGCUGUGAAGGCAGCUGUGAAAUUGCGUGGCUCAACCCUAGAAUUGCGGUGAGAACUGGCUGGCGUGAGUGCGGGUAGGGUAGGCGGAAUUCGUGGUGUAGCGGUGAAAUGCUUAGAUAUCACGAAGAACUCCGAGUGCGAAGGCAGCAUACGGGAGCGCAACUGACGCUGAUGCUCGAAAGCGUGGGUAUCGAACAGGAUUAGAUACCCGUGUAGUC